ACGUAGGGUGCAAGCGUUGUCCGGAAUUAUUGGGCGUAAAGAGCUCGUAGGCGGUUUGUCGCGUCUGCUGUGAAAACUCAGGGCUUAACCCUGAGCCUGCAGUGGGUACGGGCAGACUAGAGUGUGGUAGGGGAGAUCGGAGUUCCUGGUGUAGCGGUGGAAUGCGCAGAUAUCAGGAGGAACACCGGUGGCGAAGGCGGAUCUCUGGGCCAUAACUGACGCUGAGGAGCGAAAGCCAGGGGAGCGAACGGG
rnacentral:rRNA from 1 species